CGGGCUGUAGUUCAGCUUGGUAGAACGCUUGCAUGGGGUGCAAGAGGUCGUGAGUUCGAAUCUCGCCAGCCCGACCA
rnacentral:tRNA from 1 species